ACUCACAAACCAGGAGAUCAUGAGCUGAGCUCAAGUCAACUGAGCCACCCAGGCGUCCUCUCUUUUAGUCACCUCUACACCUGCACCCACUAUUUCCAAAACAGAAGACAGCAAAGGAAGCUAUUGACAAGUCUCCUUCCAACCAAAACAGGAGUCUGGGAAUGAUUUAACGUAAAGAGAAGAUAGCACAAAUGCAGACCUUUCACAUUAGAUAAGAUGCUUUCUUCUCUUAACAGAGUACAAAUUACCACAUUUCAAUUAGUUCUUUUGGAGCCAGAAAAGGUACAGGUGCACAUUUUACUUUCAUUUCUCUGUCCUGUGUAUUUUCUCCAACAGAAAAGCAACUUUGGGAAUUCUUUUGGAGUUAGAGGAUUAUCACGUUAAUUAGGAACUUAAAGGCCUUAUUUUAACACUUACUUCUUUUUUUUCAAGGGUAACCUUUCUAAUAUUAAUCAUCAUGUUGAGGAUUCUGUGAGAAAUGAUACAAAAUAUAAUAGAAGAGGACCAUCAUGGUGUUCCUUAGAGAUUAACUAGAAAAGGGUCAUCUCCAACUUUUGGUUGAAGUCCAUCCUGCUUCUACUUCUGAAAGGCAGCAAGUUUUCCUGGAAAGAACAUCAAGCCAGUCAACAUCAGAGAUGCCCCCCCACCCCCACCCCAACAGAAGGGAUCACCACCUUUGACUAUUCCUUCCUCAUUCACUCAAGGGAUCCAGAUCCAUAUCCACCAUAUGAAAACAAUAAAAACAGCAAAUUUUGCUCCAGUUUGCUGGCCCCUGCUUCCAAGGUAACUGCACGCACACAAACUCCAUUUCCACAGAAUGUGAGAUUUUACUCAUCAAAAAGUCUUCAUAAUCAACUGACAACCUAUCUGCUUCAACAGUGUUGAAUCUCUUUCAGUAUUUCAAAUAUGUCUGUGUCUACUGAUGCUAUGUUAGUUCUUAAGUCUCAAAAUUAUCCUUUAGCAUUAAAAGAAAACCUGCAUUGUUGAAACCUAA